AUCCCAUGAUGAGGACAGGCAAGGAUGUACUCUUGCAGACUUUCCCAAGCUUCCAGGAUUGACUCCAUCCUUGUCUGCUGGAAACUUGAUAUUUUCCCGUGCAGGGC